CAAUAGCGUAUACUAACGUUGUUGCAGUUAAAAAGCUCGUAGUUGGAUUUCUGUGUUGGUGAGGCGGCCGGCCAUUCGUGGUUGUAGCUAGUUAUCACCGGCGCAUCUUGUCACAAGCCACGCUGGCCUUAACUGGUUGGCGUUGGGGACUGACUCGUUUACUUUGAAAAAAUUAGAGUGUUCAAAGCAGGCCUAUGCUCUGAAUAGGUUAGCAUGGAAUAAUAAAAUAGGACUUUGGUUCUAUUUUGUUGGUUUCUAGGACCGAAGUAAUGAUUAAUAGGGACAGUUGGGGGCAUUCAUAUUCCAAUGUCAGAGGUGAAAUUCUUGGAUUAUCGGAAGAUGAACUUCUGCGAAAGCAUCUGCCAAGGAUGUUUUCAUUGAUCAAGAACGAAAGUUAGGGAUCGAAGAUGAUCAGAUACCAU
rnacentral:rRNA from 1 species